GAUGAACGCUGGCGGCGUGCUUAACACAUGCAAGUCGAACGGAAAGGCCCAAGCUUGCUUGGGUACUCGAGUGGCGAACGGGUGAGUAACACGUGGGUGAUCUGCCCUGCACUUCGGGAUAAGCCUGGGAAACUGGGUCUAAUACCGGAUAGGACCACAUUUUGGAUGGUGUGGUGGAAAGUUUUUCGGUGUGGGACGAGCUCGCGGCCUAUCAGCUUGUUGGUGGGGUAAUGGCCUACCAAGGCGUCGACGGGUAGCCGGCCUGAGAGGGUGUACGGCCACAUUGGGACUGAGAUACGGCCCAGACUCCUACGGGAGGCAGCAGUGGGGAAUAUUGCACAAUGGGCGCAAGCCUGAUGCAGCGACGCCGCGGGGGGGAUGACGGCCUUCGGGUUGUAAACUCCUUUCGCUAGGGACGAAGCAUUAUGUGACGGUACCUGGAGAAGAAGCACCGGCUAACUACGUG
rnacentral:rRNA from 1 species